rnacentral:sRNA from 1 species
ACUCAACAGAAAAUAAUUCAGAAGGGUGAGUCAAACCACCAAAGCGUGCCGCCUUCACUUGGCGGAUACUUGAAGGGUUUGGUAGCUCUAAAUAUGCUUUUUAGGAGUUU